rnacentral:sRNA from 1 species
UUUUGGCAGCCGAAGCGUUAUAAGUUACCAAUCCUCGAGAAGCAUGAUAGGCGAUUCUGCACGGCUGCUACGAAUGGCCGGGACGCUGUAAAGACUGAUAGGCUGUCCGUCAAGACUAGGAAUAAAGGUUCCGAAAGGCGUUUUGAUGGUGUUAGGUGGGGCCAAAGAGCUGAGGAGGGCUCUUCGUUGUCUUCUUCCAUAGGCUACUCGAAACUUAGCUUUGCUUAUCGAGCCCUAAAGCUUAUUGGGCUCACUUCUGAUGAUUGAUCCUUGUAAAGCUCGAAAAGCUCCCUUUCUACACCACCAUUAGGUUCAAAGUAUCCUAAAAAUCGUUUGUUUAUCUCAGGCGAUUGAACCCAUUUGUAAAAAGCACCCUUUUUCUUGCGCGAGCCUGAAUCCAGUCAGUUACGUGCAGUGGAUCAAUAACAGGCCAAAAAGCUUACCAAAAGGAGCAUCAAUGAAGCCUAUGUCCCGCCAGUCAGUUGACAUUCCGAAAUAUAGUAUCAAGCCCACCUUCUGAGUAAAGCUGCUUGCAAAUAAUAGCCAAGGCAUUUACCGAACAUCCUGGGCAGACAGUUUCAGUACCGCUGUCAUCCGCCCAUCCAAUAGCUCACCAAGAGCAUCCCUCAGUGGCCCGGCCUUGCCGAUACCUCCCUGCUGCCUCACACUCAAAAGAGCACGUCUAUUACUCUCUAUCAGAUACCGACGAGAGAACAAAGAAGGAUAACAGCGUACCUAAAGAGUGCUAGCUUUGACAUCCCCUCACGCGCUCUUUGCAGCUGCAGUUUGGUCCAUUUUUGUCCCUCUAUACGCUCCAUCUUACAAAUAAGGCAGUACCAGUUAUCUACCUGGGCAGCAGCUUUGAGCUCAGAGAAGCUUCAUAUGUUAGUCAGCAAAAUUAUGUACCGCAGAUAAACGAUAAAAGUCAUAACGGGCAUACCCUACACAUGGGCAAUGUACCCAGUUUCGGCAUCCAUCACACUGCAUACUCCCAUCUUGUUCAUCCUCCGCUCCACAGAAGCAAUUAAUUUUGUCCUCAUUAGCCUCCACUAAAUGGGUAUUUGUCCGUGGACCGAUCUUUCUUGACGACUUCUUCUUUAAUGGGGACGUCCUGGCGGCCUCAGCAGUGCGAGCAAGCAUCCUCCUAGCGGGGGGAGUGGCGCGUUUGCGGGGUGUGGAAUCCUUGGGCUUUUGGGGAGUGUUGGUAGGCGUAGCUGAAGACCUGGAUCUAGAAUUUGGUUUGGACGAAGAGGCAGAUUUGAGUGGCUUGUUCGCUUUGACCUUGGGGGCUUUCGAUUUGCUGGGCUUCUUAAGCUUGACGUCGGCGUUUUCCUUGUUAGCCUGGUCAGUCUCUGUCGGGCCAGACUUGUUGUUUGUCCUCUGGGCCUUCCUCGGACGUUCGGAUAACUGGUUAGCAGACUUGGGUCGUAACGCUCCGCACUCCUGUGUCUUGUUGGUGUCGCCCUCGGGAGUCAUAGCAGCUGAGUUAGAACUGGGGCCGUCUUCGGAUGCCGAGCCAUCCUGAUGAGCAAAUAUGGCAGACGCGGAUCCAUUUGAGUGGCGGAGAGCGGUUUGAGCAGGCGCAAGGGGAAUGAUGGCCAUGCUUCCACAAUAAUCAGUUUCCCCAUCAGCUUUACAGCCAAUAUCAUUAGUUACAGUUUUGAGGACAUUCGUAGGGGCGUACCAUCAAAAUCAAAAUCCGUUUUGGAUCUUUCCCUGGCUAUGGACGCACGCGAAGAUGCAUGACGUGUCUGAGAAGCAGACGGUUGAGUGACUUGUGUCUGCGAAAGCUGCAUGAUCUCUUCCUCUAACUGCGUCCAAGUCAACUUCUCAUUAUAGCCAAGCUGGAAUUCGCAUACAGUCUGAUGAGCUCGCUUCUUCCCAGUGACAUUUUCCUCCGCGGAAGGUGGACCCGGCAUAGGGAAAGGCAGGAUAUUACCAUCGGCAAGAAGUGUACCCAAAGGUCGCUUAAGGAUAUCGUAGACGUCAUCAGGUCGUUCGUACGCUUUCCGAUCAUAGACAGGCUAAUACACUACGUCAGUCUUGCCUCCACUUAAAGAGAUGGCGCUCACCAAAUCGGCAUUCUGAUGCGGCAUAAUCAGCCUACAGUCGAUAUUAUACAGUGCGACUCACCCAUGCAACCUUUCUCUUCUCGGCAGCUUUCAACUGCUCAGCCCGCUCUUUUUCAGGGUCGUCUUUCUCUCCCGAAGCCCUCCGUUCAUCCGAGUCUGUACGUGCUGGGAGGAACUGCACAAUAGACUGGGUAGUCACAGAAACACUAAAAAACGACAUCAAACUCGGAUUGUCUUGAGCGUGGAAGAGAAACCUUACCCAUGCGUGCCUGUGGUAGUUUUUCCCAUGACAACAUCCGUAGGCUCCGUGUCUUUGUCGGACGUGCACAUAAACAAUGGGUCUUCUGUACAAUCUCUGAACCCAGGUGCUUCAUAGCUACCAAAAAUAAUUACUUUAAUGGAUGAUCCUCAUUAUUC